UCCGGCUUUCACCGGCUGUCUCUCUAGAGUGCCCAGCUUGACCUGCUGGCAACUAAAGAUAAGGGUUGCGCUCGUUGCGGGACUGAACCCAACAUCUCACGACACGAGCUGACGACAACCAUGCACCACCUGUCACCGCUGCCCCGAAGGGAAGAUGUAUCUCUACACCGAUCAGCGGGAUGUCAAGCCUUGGUAAGGUUCUUCGCGUUGCUUCGAAUUAAACCACAUGCUCCACCGCUUGUGCGGGCCCCCGUCAAUUCCUUUGAGUUUCAGCCUUGCGGCCGUACUCCCCAGGCGGAGUGCUUAUUGGGUUUCCUUCGGCACUGAGGGGUGGAAACCCCCCAACACCUAGCACUCAUCGUUUACGGCGUGGACUAC
rnacentral:misc_RNA from 1 species